UACGUAGGGCGCAAGCGUUGUCCGGAAUUAUUGGGCGUAAAGAGCUCGUAGGCGGUUUGUCGCGUCUGCUGUGAAAGCCCGGGGCUCAACCCCGGGUCUGCAGUGGGUACGGGCAGACUAGAGUGCAGUAGGGGAGAUCGGAAUUCCUGGUGUAGCGGUGAAAUGCGCAGAUAUCAGGAGGAACACCGGUGGCGAAGGCGGAUCUCUGGGCCAUUACUGACGCUGAGGAGCGAAAGCGUGGGGAGCGAACAGG
rnacentral:rRNA from 1 species